UGGUGGAGUGAUUUGUCUGGUUAAUUCCGUUAACGAACGAGACCUCAGCCUACUAAAUAGUUGUACCAAUUUUCUGCUUCGGCGGUGUGAUUGGUAAGAAUACUUCUUAGAGGGACUAUUGGUGUUUAACCAAUGGAAGUUUGAGGCAAUAACA
rnacentral:rRNA from 1 species